AAACUCAAUGUUUCCAGAAUCAAAGAAACAAGCUUCGGAGGAACAAGAGAAGGCGUCCCACCACCGAAAAACACCGUUUCUAGAUUCGGGUUCGUAUCAAAAUCCGUCCUUGUCGCUUUUAUCUCUCUAACAAGCAAAUUCACAUAGUUCGUGAUUCUCGGGUCAUCUUCUUUUCCUUCCUCGUAGACAUUAGACGGUCUGGCUGAAGAAGAAGACAUGCCUAGAGCUAAGAUAGGAAAGUCACAAUAAUGACAGCGUUUGCGACAAAACGGAAGAUGAACGUAGGCUGAGGUUGGUGGACCUUUGUGUAACGUAGUAAGAUUGGUUGACGCAUUUCGUCGAGCACUUGGUGGAGUAUCUUGUAGAACAACCUUACUAAAAGCUCGAAAAAACAACUUCGAUGAGCACUUGGGUUUACCUGUAAACGAUGAGAAAAU